rnacentral:rRNA from 1 species
CCUACGGGAGGCAGCAGUGGGGAAUUUUGGACAAUGGGGGCAACCCUGAUCCAGCCAUGCCGCGUGAGUGAAGAAGGCCUUCGGGUUGUAAAGCUCUUUCAGCCGGGAAGAAAUCACAUGGGUUAAUACCCUGUGUGGAUGACGGUACCGGAAUAAGAAGCACCG